CGCCUAUCGAAAGGGAAUCCGGUUAAUAUUCCGGAACCAGGUUAAGGACGUGUAUUAUGGCAACAUAAAUGAACUCAGAAACACCGGCGGAGAUCCUGGGAAGAGUUCUCUUUUCUUUUUAACAAACGGGAGUCGCGCUUCGGUGCGGCGAACAAAAGAUGACCCUGGAAUCAAUUUAGUUGGAGAAGGGGUUAGAAGUUUGGUAAAGCACUCCAGUUUCAGGAGUGUCCGGUGCAUCUCCGACGGUCCAUGAAAAUCUGAGGGAAAGAAUCAGUUUCUUAUCUGGUCGUACUCAUAACCGCAUCAGGUCUCCAAGGUUAGAAGCCUCUAGUCGAUAGAAAAAUGUAGGUAAGGGAAGUCGGCAAAAUAGAUCCGUAA
rnacentral:rRNA from 1 species